rnacentral:rRNA from 1 species
UACGUAGGGAGCAAGCGUUGUCCGGAAUCAUUGGGCGUAAAGCGCGCGUAGGCGGCCUCGUAAGUCCGUUGUGAAAAGUCAAAGGCUCAACCUUUGAAAGCCGAUGGAUACUGUGAGGCUAGAGUCCGGAAGAGGCGAGUGGAAUUCCUGGUGUAGCGGUGGAAUGCGCAGAUAUCAGGAGGAACACCAAUAGCGAAGGCAGCUCGCUGGGACGGUACUGACGCUAAGGCGCGAAAGCGUGGGAGCGAACAGG